AUUGAACGCUGGCGGCAGACCUAACACAUGCAAGUCGAACGAGUGGCGGCCGGGUGAGUAAUGUAUGGGGAUCUGCCCGCUAGAGGGGGAUAACUACUGGAAACGGUGGCUAAUACCGCAUACUCUCGGAUGAACCCAUAUGGGAUUAGCUAGUCGGUGGGGUAAAGGCUCAACUAGGCGACGAUCCCUAGCUGGUCUGAGAGGAUGAUCAGCCACACUGGAACUGAGACACGGCCCAGACUCCGACGGGAGGCAGCAGUGGGGAAUAUUGCACAAUGGGCGCAAGCCUGAUGCAGCCAUGCCGCGUGUAUGAAGAAGGCCUUAGGGUUGUAAAGUACUUUCAGCGGGGAGGCGUUACCCGCAGAAGAAGCACCGGCUAACGCCGUGCCAGCAGCCGCGGUAAUAC
rnacentral:rRNA from 1 species